rnacentral:rRNA from 1 species
UACGGAGGGUGCAAGCGUUAUCCGGAUUUACUGGGUUUAAAGGGAGCGUAGGUGGGUUGGUAAGUCAGUGGUGAAAUCUUCGAGCUUAACUCGGAAACUGCCAUUGAUACUAUCAAUCUUGAAUUAUCUGGAGGUAAGCGGAAUAUGUCAUGUAGCGGUGGAAUGCUUAGAUAUGACAUAGAACACCAAUUGCGAAGGCAGCUUACUACGGAUAUAUUGACACUGAGGCUCGAAAGCGUGGGGAUCAAACAGG